rnacentral:rRNA from 1 species
GAUGAACGCUGGCGGCGUGCCUAAUACAUGCAAGUUGAGCGCUGAAGGUUGGUGCUUGUACCAACUGGAUGAGCAGCGAACGGGUGAGUAACGCGUGGGGAAUCUGCUUUUGAGCGGGGGACAACAUCUGGAAACGAAUGCUAAUACCGCCUAAAAACUUUAAACACAAGCUUUAAGUUUGAAAGAUGCCAUUGCAUCACUCAAAGAUGAUCCCGCGUUGUAUUAGCUAGUUGGUGAGGGCAAGGCUCACCAAGGCGAUGCUACAUAGCCGACCUGAGAGGGUGCUCGGCCACAUUGGGACUGGGACACGGCCCAAACUCCUACGGGAGGCAGCAGUAGGGGAUCUUCGGCAAUGGACGAAAGUCUGACCGAGCAACGCCGCGGGAGGGAAGAAGGGUUUCGGGUCGUGAAACUCUGUUGGUAGAGAAGAACUUUGGUGAGAGUGGAAAGCUCAUGAAGUGACGGUAACUACCCAGAAAGGGACGGCUAACUACGUG